rnacentral:rRNA from 1 species
AGUGAACGCUGGCGGUAGACCUAACACAUGCAAGUCGAACGGCAGCACAGUAAGAGCUUGCUCUUACGGGUGGCGAGUGGCGGACGGGUGAGGAAUACAUCGGAAUCUACUUUUUCGUGGGGGAUAACGUAGGGAAACUUACGCUAAUACCGCAUACGACCUACGGGUGAAAGCAGGGGAUCUUCGGACCUUGCGCGAUUGAAUGAGCCGAUGUCGGAUUAGCUAGUUGGCGGGGUAAAGGCUCACCAAGGCGACGAUCCGUAGCUGGUCUGAGAGGAUGAUCAGCCACACUGGAACUGAGACACGGUCCAGACUCCUACGGGAGGCAGCAGUGGGGAAUAUUGGACAAUGGGCGCAAGCCUGAUCCAGCCAUACCGCGUGGGUGAAGAAGGCCUUCGGGUUGUAAAGCCCUUUUGUUGGGAAAGAAAAGCAGCAGGUUAAUACCCCGCUGUUCUGACGGUACCCAAAGAAUAAGCACCGGCUAACUUCGUG